ACAUUGAGGUUUUAGUUGUGGUGCAUGCAGUAGUUUGGAUGCAUUUUUGGUCAUUUUUACAACGUUUGUUCAUAAUGUUGUGCUAAAAAAAGUUGAUGAAUAUCAAGAAAAGAUGGAAUUAUUGAGCAAUUAUCGAUUAUAACAAGAUCAGUGCCCAAAGUUCUACAGAAUCAGACCAUCCUCUUUUGCUUCUCAGAGAUACGUUGAAUCCAACGUCGCCAAGGAACUUAAAAUUCGCAUCGUUUAACUGCUCCUGCCAUUCCAAAAAACAAAUUGCGUACUCUUUCUUUGACUCAAUUUUUUGAGAAUUUUUUCUACGCAAUGGAAUCAGAUGAAUUCUUUUAAAAUUAAUAAUUGUUAGGGGAGGGGGCGGCCGAAGGUGCAACUGCCAACGCGACUUGGCCAAGGAUGGAGGAAGAGGAAGGAGGAACAAACUGGUGAAUAAAUUCGACCUAAAUUGCCACAGGAAAGGGAAGGAAUCGAACCUGACUGGUUGUUGGACGUGCCGAACUAACCAAGUCGAGGGAGGGGGAGGUAGCGACUGAUCGUUGGACUAUGCCGAACUGAUCAGUUCGAGGUUGGGAAAAGGAGAGGAAGCGACUGAUCGUUGGACUCUGCCGAACUAAUCGAGUCAAGUAGAACGUCGAUAUCCGGGCAGCUCGGGACCCGAC